rnacentral:lncRNA from 1 species
UGCGACCAGAUAAAAAGAGUAACAGAAAAACCAGUAAUGAAUCAUGAUGGUGCAUUUAUGUGUUGAGUGUAGAUAUAAUCAGUAUGAGGGAUCAUCAUUCUCCUAAUCAAGUACUCUUCACUCUUCAACCCUCUGCGCUCAUCAUUCUCAUCAUCCCCAUCUUUGCUUGAUUCUCCCUCCUACACAAAAGCAAAUAAUACAGUACUAGUAAAAUAUACAUACAUAUGUAUAGGUGUUUAUAUAUAAUAGCUUACAGGUGAAGAAGAAAAUAAGUGAUCAGUCGCCGC